rnacentral:lncRNA from 1 species
GCUACAAUCGAAGCUGCAAGAGCUUUUAUUCCUGCAAAUGCCACAGUUUUCCUUCAAACUCCAGCAUUGCUGGUCUAUUACAGCAAAUCUUUAUUCCUGCAAAUGCCGUGGUGAAGUCAUAUUACAGCAGUGUUGUGUGAUCACAUCCUAAUGCAGCGGCUUCCACCACCACUCCAGCUCAAACCAGGAGGGCAGCGAUGGCAGCCAUUUCUAUACCAGUACCAGCUGCUUGGGCAACUCACGCAUUUGCUUCCACUCCACUUCCAUCCGGAGAGGCAUUGGUGGCAACCGUUGCCAUACCAGUACCAGUCUUUCGGGCACCGGAUACACUUCUCACCAUCCCAGUUCCAUCCGGAUUUGCAUCGCUGCUGGGCGUCCACUCCCACUAGGAGGAGUGUCACAAACAUCGCCAAGAGUAUCAGCUGGGACUUGCUCGCCAUGAUGAUUGAUCUCAGAAUUGUGAUAUCAGAUUCUAAACUAUGAUCUAGAUCUCCAACUUCGUGGUUUGGGGAAUUUAUAGCACCGAGAUAUUGGAAGGGACAAAGGC